rnacentral:rRNA from 1 species
AGAGUUUGAUCCUGGCUCAGGAUGAACGCUGGCGGCGUGCCUAACACAUGCAAGUCGAACGGACUCAUACUGAAACCUAGUGAUUUAUGAGUUAGUGGCGGACGGGUGAGUAACGCGUGGAUAACCUGCCGUAUACCGGGGGAUAACACUUAGAAAUAGGUGCUAAUACCGCAUGAGCGCACAGCUCCGCAUGGGGCGGUGUGAAAAACUCCGGUGGUAUACGAUGGAUCCGCGUCUGAUUAGCCAGUUGGCGGGGUAACGGCCCACCAAAGCGACGAUCAGUAGCCGGCCUGAGAGGGUGAACGGCCACAUUGGGACUGAGACACGGCCCAGACUCCUACGGGAGGCAGCAGUGGGGAAUAUUGCACAAUGGGGGAAACCCUGAUGCAGCGACGCCGCGUGAGUGAAGAAGUAUCUCGGUAUGUAAAGCCCUAUCAGCAGGAAAGAUAAUGACGGUACCUGACUAAGAAGCCCCGGCUAACUACGUG